UUACGGCCACAUCAUGUUGAAACAUUGGUUCCCGUACGAGCACCGAAGUUAAGUAACGUCAAGCCUGGUCAGUAAUUAUAUUGGUGACCGCUUGGGAAUACAAGGAUGGUGUA